rnacentral:misc_RNA from 1 species
AACGCACAUUGCGCUUUCUGGUCUACCAGGAAGCAUGCCUGUUUGAGCAUCAGUAUUACCUCUCACCUUCCCCGAUAGGGAGAACGUGGAUUUGGGCUUGCCGGAACCUGGAAAGGUUUUGGCUGGCCUUAAAUAUAGAGGCGCGAGUUGCACGCGACAAAGGUGUGUUGGGUAUCUUGCAUACUACUACACUGCCGUCCUUCGACUCAUCUUAGCCUGGAAGCAGGAAAUACUUUUACUCUUUUGAUCUCAAAUCAGGCAAGAUUACCCGCUGAACUUAA